rnacentral:siRNA from 1 species
ACAAACAAUGUGGUUCCUUCGGAG